UACGAAGGGGGCUAGCGUUGCUCGGAAUCACUGGGCGUAAAGCGCACGUAGGCGGCUUUCUAAGUCAGGGGUGAAAUCCUGGAGCUCAACUCCAGAACUGCCUUUGAUACUGGGGAGCUCGAGUCCGGAAGAGGUGAGUGGAACUCCGAGUGUAGAGGUGAAAUUCGUAGAUAUUCGGAAGAACACCAGUGGCGAAGGCGGCUCACUGGUCCGGUACUGACGCUGAGGAGCGGAAGCGUGGGGAGCAAACAGG
rnacentral:rRNA from 1 species